rnacentral:rRNA from 1 species
UGAUCCCCCACACUGGCACUGAGAUACGGGCCAGACUCCUANNGGAGGCAGCAGUAGGGAAUAUUGGUCAAUGGAUGGAAGUCUGAACCAGCCAUGCCGCGUGCAGGAAGAAGGCCUUNUGGGUUGUAAACUGCUUUUGCCAGGGGAUAAAAAUUCUUUGCGAAGAAAAUUGAAGGUACCUGGUGAAUAAGCACCGGCUAACUACGUGCCAGCAGCCGCGGUAAUACGUAGGGNGCAAGCGUUGUCCGGAUUUAUUGGGUUUAAAGGGUGCGUAGGCGGCCCUGUAAGUCAGUGGUGAAAUACUCCAGCUUAACUGGAGGGGUGCCAUUGAUACUGCAGGGCUUGAGUUAAGUUGAAGUUGGCGGAAUUGACGGUGUAGCGGUGAAAUGCUUAGAUAUCGUCAAGAACACCGAUAGUGAAGACAGCUAACUAAACUUUUACUGACGCUGAGGCACGAAAGUGUGGGGAUCAAACAGGAUUAGAUACCCUGGUAGUCCACACUGUAAACGUUGAUUACUCGCUGUGUGCGAUAUNCAGUACGCGGCCAAGCGAAAGCGAUAAGUAAUCCACCUGGGGAGUACGCCGGCAACGGUGAAAACUCAAAGGAAU